rnacentral:rRNA from 1 species
UUGGAGGGCAGGUCUGGUGCCAGCAGCCGCGGUAAUUCCAGCUCCAAUAGCGUAUAUUAAAGUUGUUGCAGUUAAAAAGCUCGUAGUUGAAUUUCGGGAUCAAUGUUUCGGUCAUGCCCUUGGUAUGUACUGAUAUUAUUGAUUUCUCACCUUCUAAAGAACCGUAAUGCCAUUAAUUUGGUGUCACGGGGAAUUAGGACUGUUACCUUGAAAAAAUUAGAGUGUUAAAGCAGGC